rnacentral:misc_RNA from 1 species
UAACAUGUUUGGAAAGAUGGUAUGAUACAGAAUUGUUUAAUAAUCUUUUCUUGUUUGGUUAGAUGGUAUGGUAUGGUAUAAUAAAUAUGAAGAUUACUAAAAUACCCUUAUUGCUAUUUUAAAUAUAUAAAGAGUUGUUUUAAACUUUACUUGCACUAUUUGAAAAACGAUAAAUUUUUCCUAGAACCAAAGAGUUCAGUAUUGAUUACCCAAUUGACAAAAUAGACGAAAUAACCUAGGUAUACAAAAUGAAAUCACUCACUAACAAACAAGAAAAUAAAUUCAAGAGCCAGGUAAUAAAAGAACCAGAAAACAAACCCAACAAUCAAAUAGAAGCAUCACAUUUGUGAUGAGUUUGGACUAUACCCAUACCCAAAAUUGGUGGCUAGAGCAAGAGUAGAGAGGGGUAUUGAAGUCUAAUUGCAGACUUACCAAAGCUUGAGAAGGGGCUGUGGAGGACCUGUGAUGUGAGAGAUUAUGUUGGAUUGACGUAUGUGAGAGACUAAAGAUUUUUUAUCAAAAGGAGAGACUGAAGAUGAGGGAUAAUGAACGUUUAUAAAUAAGCAAAAUAUGAUAUAAUUGGAAUUUUAUAAAUUAUGUAAGUAUAAAAUUAGAAUACAAAAAUUUUAAAUCAUUUAAAAACACUGAUUUGAUGGUUUAAAAAUAUGUGGUAAAAUCAUGGUUAAAGAACCAUCACUUUACAACUCAACAUCACCGUUCUUUAGUAACAAGCUUCAUAAACAAGUAGCAUCACCAUAUCAUACUUUAGGAAACCAUAGAAAACCAUUAUUCACACAAGAGGUUAGACUUUGUGGCAUCCAUUGAAUCAUUCAGCAACAUAAUGUAUAAAACUAGAUUUUAGUGCAUGAUAUUGUUCAAGUGUGCACUACUUAAAAGUAUUGUAGUUUGUCUACUUUAUAUUGCAGGAGUAUUUACUUCUCUUUAGCAA